rnacentral:pre_miRNA from 1 species
UUAACGUACUUUGUGCGAUGUCUAGUAACGUACUUUGUGCGAUGGCGUUACUAGACAUCGCACAAAGUACGUU